GAUCAAGCCACAUCCACUUCCUCUAGCUCAAACUGAGCAUGCGCAGACAAAACAGGUCACGGUCGCGGUGGAGACAGGCAGUGGAGAAAACCACACCGCUUCUAUACAUUGGCUGUGGGAGACACGUUGAACCACAAAGGCUAGCGAUGACAAAUACCCAUCAUCUCCACAUAAAGCAGUUCAUGUAGAACCAUCAACCUUAAGCACCAGCUUCAAAUACAAUCAAGCUUCACGGCCAGCCGAACACAGGGGUGCUACAGUUCGGUUUCCACGGACACGCCUCAACGGCAGGUCAGAAACGUGAUGAGCCGCGAGCGUGUCUGCAGGAAAUUAACUGACACUGAAGACAGUGCCAGGAAACACAGCUGCCUUGUGCCACCCCGAGGCCAGCGGGCCGGUGGAAGGCACGUUACGCAACGCAGCCACUGACACAGUAGCUCCUGCGAGAAAAUAAACAUUUCAACUCGUGUGCCGUACACCAGCUCAACCUAGGAUAAACAACUCCUUGUGGCCUUUCCGAAAACAGGAAGUGUACAUGGACGAUUUUUUUCAUCAUAAAAUAGUUAAUCUUAUACACUUUUCCAAAUACAUUGCUAGUUUUUUGCUAAUUAAAUACUAUCCAUGUGAACACAGUUAAUAACAGUAAAACUAUGGUUCAGUCAGCACUUGAGGAGCCCGUGAGACCUCAGGUGAAAUACAAACUGCCGUAUUGGGUUGCGAUAGAGCCACACCCAUUCAGCCAAUGCAGGAUAGGGAAACUACAAUAAUAUCUCCAGCAGCCUGCUUUAACAGGUGUGCCGGGAAUAAUGACUGUUCUACUACUGAAGCUAGAGCUAGCAGGCAACAGACAGGCUACUUUCUCCAUUAUAGCUUGUGAAUGCCUGGAGGUAAGGUACUGUAAACAACAUUCAAUUCUUGCACAUUGCUAGUAUUGGCAUUUCAAAUAAAGUGGUGGACCCAUUUUGUUUGUAGCGGAGACAAUUUUAUUAAUUUUAACCAGGCUAUACCACUU